GGUCUCCCAGAUCUUCUUCCUUGCCCUCGGGUGUUCCAUGUAUUUUACCUGAAAUUGGGUCGUUAAAGUGAAAACCUUUGUGAGACGUUGGCGGUGGAAGCGACCACAGUCCUAGUUCCAGAGUGGAGAUAUUUUUUUUUUUUUUUUUUUACUGUCCAGCUUGCAUCUAAGGUCUCCCAGAUCUUCUUCCUUGCCCUCGGGUGUUCUGUGUAUUUUACCUGAAAUUAUGUCGUUAAAGUGAAAACCUUCGUGAGACAUUGGCGGUGGAAGCGACCACAGUCCUAGUUCCAGAGUGGAGACUUUUUUUUUUUUUUUUACUGUCCAGCUUGCGUCUAAGGUCUCCCAGAUCUUCUUCCUUGCCCUCGGGUGUUCCGUGUAUUUUACCUGAAAUUGGGUCGUUAAAGUGAAAACCUUCGUGAGACGUUGGCGGUGGAAGCGACCACAGUCCUAGUUCCAGAGUGGAGACUUUUUUUUUUUUUUUUACUGUCCAGCUUGCGUCUCUCAGAUCUUCUUCCUUGCCCACGGGUGUUCUGUGUAUUUUACCUGAAAUUGGGUCGUUAAAGUGAAACUUCAGUUCGUUUUAAAAAGUUUUGUAGCGAGUGGGGAAGGGUUGGAUCCCAUGUCUUUUUUUAUUAUUAUUAUUUCUGUGUCCCCAUGGAGGAAAAUACCCUUAUUGCUUGCCUCUUUUUAACUGCCUUUGUGUAUAUUAUCCAUGUAUAUAUUUCUGUAUUCGUCUUUUGCCUCUUUUGGAGGGUGUGGUCUUCAGAAUAGACAUCAUGCAUUCUUUCUUUGUGUUUUUGUAGGUGCUAAUAAACUAUUUUUUUGUAAAGUGGA